rnacentral:rRNA from 1 species
AUCCUGGCUCAGGACGAACGCUGGCGGCGUGCCUAAUACAUGCAAGUCGAACGAAGCUUUCUUUCACCGAAUGCUUGCAUUCACCGAAAGAUGCUUAGUGGCGAACGGGUGAGUAACACGUAGGCAACCUGCCCAAAAGAGGGGGAUAACACUUGGAAACAGGUGCUAAUACCGCAUAACCAUGAACACCGCAUGAUGUUCAUGUAAAAGACGGCUUUUGCUGUCACUUUUGGAUGGGCCUGCGGCGUAUUAACUUGUUGGUGGGGUAACGGCCUACCAAGGUGAUGAUACGUAGCCGAACUGAGAGGUUGAUCGGCCACAUUGGGACUGAGACACGGCCCAAACUCCUACGGGAGGCAGCAGUAGGGAAUCUUCCACAAUGGACGAAAGUCUGAUGGAGCAACGCCGCGUGAAUGAAGAAGGCCUUCGGGUCGUAAAAUUCUGUCGUCAGAGAAGAACGUGCGUGAGAGUAACUGUUCACGUAUUGACGGUAUCUGACCAGAAAGCCACGGCUAACUACGUGCCAGCAGCCGCGGUAAUACGUAGGUGGCAAGCGUUGUCCGGAUUUAUUGGGCGUAAAGGGAACGC